rnacentral:rRNA from 1 species
GUCAGUUGCCUUACUACUGACGUUUCAUCUGAAGCUAAGCAAGGCUGGGUCUGUUUAGUACUUGGAUGGGAGACUGCUGGGAACAUCAGGUGCAACAGUUG